UGUACAAGGUACUUGUGUACAAGAGU
rnacentral:piRNA from 1 species